CUCUUUCCUUCAGCACAUUCUCAUUUCUCUCUGCGGUGCUUGCCGUAUUACUACGCUGCUUCUGUGCUCGAACCUCCUCUUCACCUGCUGCUGCUGCGACAUCUGCGCUACCCCCUCCCCCCAACUGUCUCAACCAUGGUCAACCUUAGCGCCAAGUUUCAAAUCUCGGCUUCCAACCACAAGGAGUUCUACAUCUACUACCUGGCGAAGCACUCAAAGCAGUGGACGCGUCGCAUGCAUCUCAUCGGCACCGCGGUCGGUGUCGUUGGAGCGGCUGUGUCGGCGGUGCGCAUGGACGUUAUCGGCGCCACUGUGAGCACCGCUGUUGGUGUGGCGAUUUGCUGGGCUGGUGAUACAGUGGUGGAGCAGACACAGCCGACCACCUUUAAGAACCCCAUCUGGUCGGUCAUGUCUAACUUCAAGAUGGUCGCAUCGAUGCUGAAGGGUGACAUGAGCAUCUAGGCCGAUUUCGUUUUAGCGGGGAGGGGUAGUGCGCCAAGGUAGAAAGAGCGAGAAGGGAAAAGGGCUCCAAUUCAGCCAUGACCCCUCCCCCCAUAAAACCAAAAGACGCCGAAAGGCGGAAGGGCGUGAUAGCGGAGUGGAGAGGAAUGGAGGGGGAGGAGGUGAAAUGUAGAGAGGGGUUGGGGGGGUGGGGUUGCGGUGAGGAGAGGCAAGGCGAGCGUAACCGAAGACUGCCUGAGCGCAGCUGUGCAUCUACUUGGCCCUCCCUUCUCUUUUUCUCUCUUCCUCUCUCUACAUGUAUACACACUCACAGUU
rnacentral:misc_RNA from 1 species